rnacentral:rRNA from 1 species
GACGAACGCUGGAGGCGUGCUUAACACAUGCAAGUCGAACGAUGUAAUGGAGCUUGCUCCAUGGAUUAGUGGCGAACGGGUGAGUAACACGUGAAUAACCUGCCCUUAAUUUUGGAAUAACCCAGGGAAGCCUGGGCUAAUACCGGAUAAGUAAACCUGUGGCAUCACAUGGUUUUGGAAAGUUUUUCGAUUAAGGAUGGAUUCGCGGCCUAUCAGCUUGUUGGUGAGGUAAUGGCUCACCAAGGCGACGACGGGUAGCCGGCCUGAGAGGGUGAACGGCCACACUGGGACUGAGACACGGCCCAGACUCCUACGGGAGGCAGCAGUGGGGAAUAUUGCGCAAUGGACGAAAGUCUGACGCAGCGACGCCUCGUGAGGGACGAAGGUCUUCGGAUUGUAAACCUCUUUCAGCAGGGACGAAGCGAAAGUGACGGUACCUGCAGAAGAAGCACCGGCUAACUAUGUGCCAGCCGCCGCGGUAA